AUUGAACGCUGGCGGCAGGCCUAACACAUGCAAGUCGAGCGGUUGAGGUAGCUUGCUACCGAUACAGCGGCGGACGGGUGAGUAAUACAUGGGAAUCUGCCUGGUAGUGGGGGACAACGUUUCGAAAGGAACGCUAAUACCGCAUACGCCCUACGGGGGAAAGGGGGGGAUCUUCGGACCUCUCGCUAUCAGAUGAGCCCAUGUCAGAUUAGCUUGUUGGUGAGGUAAAGGCUCACCAAGGCGACGAUCUGUAACUGGUCUGAGAGGAUGAUCAGCCACACUGGAACUGAGACGCGGUCAAGACUCCUAAGGGAGGCAGCAGUGGGGAAUAUUGGACAGUGGGCGCAGGCCUGAUCCAGCCGUGCCGCGUGUGUGAAGAAGGCCUUAGGGUUGUAAAGCACUUUCAGUGGGGAGAAAGGCCUUUUACUUAAUACGUAAGAGGAUUGAUGUUACCCACAGAAGAAGCACCGGCUAACUCCGUGCCAGCCGCCGCGGUAA
rnacentral:rRNA from 1 species